AACGAACGCUGGCGGCAGGCCUAACACAUGCAAGUCGAGCGCCCCGCGAGGGGAGCGGCGGGCGGGUGAGUACCGCGUGGGAAUAUGCCCUUUGCUACGGAAUAGGCUCGGGAGACUGGGGGUAAUACCGUAUACGCCCUUUGGGGGAAAGAUUGAUCGGGGAAGGAUUAGCCCGCGUUGGAUUAGGUAGUUGGUGGGGUAAUGGCCUACCAAGCCGACGAUCCAUAGCUGGUUUGAGAGGAUGAUCAGCCACACUGGGACUGAGACACGGCCCAGACUAUUACGCGAAGGAGGAGUGGGUAAUCCUAGACAAUGGGGGGAAUCCUGAUGUAGCCAUGACGGGUGAGCGAUGAAGGUCGUAGGGUUGUAAAGUUCUUUCAGCUGGGAAGAUAAUGACGGUACCAGCAGAAGAAGCCCCGGCUAACUCCGUG
rnacentral:rRNA from 1 species